rnacentral:rRNA from 1 species
GACAGAGGGUGCAAACGUUGUUCGGAAUUACUGGGCGUAAAGCGCGUGUAGGCGGCUGUGCAAGUCGGAUGUGAAAUCCCGUGGCUCAACCACGGAAGUGCACCCGAAACUGCGCAGCUGGAGUCUCGGAGAGGAAGGUGGAAUGCUUGGUGUAGAGGUGAAAUUCGUAGAUAUCAAGCGGAACACCGGUGGCGAAGGCGGCCUUCUGGACGGAUACUGACGCUGAGGCGCGAAAGCCAGGGGAGCAAACGGG